ensembl:lncRNA
ACGACGGGAAAUGCUUUGAAUACUUACGACAUGGCCGCUCACACUGAUUGCCAAGAUUGACAGCACUAACCAUCGCCUUCACUUGUUUCAAGGGGGAAGCCCCUAGUCACCCCGCUCUGCGCGCACCUCCUGGCACCCCGGCGGCAAACUUCUGCGGGUCAGCGUUCCCCCGCUCGGGGCGGGACACCCCCGCAGACUUGAGUUAACGGGCUUAGCCGGCCGCGGCGCUGGGGGGCUCUGCUCUCUUGCUCCCCGGGCUGAGCUAAUUGACCCAGCAACGACUCCCCUUCCUUAAUUUUUUUUUUUUUUUAUUUGUAUCUUUCCCUUUUUUCUUUAAUGCCAUUUACUCCCGCGGCGCAGCGCACAAGGAGCCCUCCCGUGCGGUACCAUCCUGGAGCCCGCCCAGGUCACUUUCAUGAAUUCAAAAGCAAUUUACCAGUGAUUUCUGGGUGCUGGGGCUGAUUUUUUUGUGCGUAUUUAUGAGAGAGAGCCAAGGAUAUCUGGCCCAUUGAAUGCUAUUAGGAACAUGUGAAGAAGCCUGCCAGAUUCAAGCCAGCUUCAAGGUAGACAUUUGUCACUUCUUUUCCUUUCUCUUGUUCCUGAUGCACUUUUCUUAACACUGAUUGUUACAUUCUGCCUUGAUGGUAGAAGCAUUCCAUGGUAUUUGUUUUGAGUUACCUUGUGGUUCCAGGUUCUCAAGAUCAUAAUUCUUGAUCUUCAAUUCUCCAGUCUUCUCUCACAGUGCAUUUGGAUUGCAGGCUAUUUUGGCUUCUUGUUGUGUUACAAAGCAG